rnacentral:rRNA from 1 species
UACGUAGGGGGCGAGCGUUGUCCGGAGUACUGGGCGUAAAGCGCACGCAGGCGGUCUGCUAAGUUUGGAGUGACAGUUGGUGGCUUAACUGCCAAAGUGCUUCGAAAACUGACAGACUUGAGGGCUUCAGAGGGACACGGAAUUCCGGGUGGAGUGGUGAAAUGCGUAGAGAUCCGGAGGAACACCAAAGGCGAAGGCAGCUCGCUGGAACGUAACUGACGCUGAGACGCGAAAGCGUGGGGAGCAAACAGG